GUUUUGGUCCUAAACUUGCCCUUGUUUUUUAUCAAAAUUACACAUGCAAGCUUCAACAAGCCAGUGAGAAUGCCCACAACCCCCCAAACAGCCUAAAGGAGCAGGCAUCAGGAACACCAAAAAUUUUAGCCUACAACGCCUUGCUAUGCCACACCCACACGGGUACUCAGCAGUGAUUAACAUUAAGACAUGAGCGAAAGCUCGACUUAGUUAUGAUUAAACCUGGUCGGUAAAUUUCGUGCCAGCCACCGCGGUUAUACGAAAGACCAAAAACAAGGGCCCCCGGCGUAAAGAGUGACCAAGAGAACAUCUAACAAUUUAAAGGAAAACCACCUCAAAGUUGUAAAACACCUUGAUAAUGGGACCCCCAACAAUAAAAUGCCUUUAAACACCUAAGACCCCUCACCUUCACUAAAGCUAAGAAACAAACUAGGAUUAGAUACCCUACUAUGCUUAGCCCUUAACACAGACAACAGACAUACAAUGCUGUCCGCCAGAGAACUACGAGUGAAAAACUUAAAACUCCAAGGACUUGGCGGUGCUCCAUACCGUCCUAGAGGAGCCUGUCCUAUAAUCGAUACCCCACGUUAUACCCGACCAUUUUUUGCAACCUCAGCCUAUAUACCGCC
rnacentral:rRNA from 1 species